UACAGAGGGCGCAAACGUUGUUCGGAUUUACUGGGCGUAAAGCGCGUGUAGGCAGUUCCGCAAGUCGGGUGUGAAAGCCCUGGGCUCAACCUAGGAAGUGCACUCGAAACUGCGAGACUUGAGUCCUGGAGAGGAAGGCGGAAUUCUCGGUGUAGAGGUGAAAUUCGUAGAUAUCGAGAGGAACACCGGUGGCGAAGGCGGCCUUCUGGACAGUGACUGACGCUGAGACGCGAAAGCGUGGGGAGCAAACAGG
rnacentral:rRNA from 1 species